rnacentral:lncRNA from 1 species
GGAGGGAGGGAUGGACGGUGGUAGUGUGUCUAUCUACCCUUCACCCAGGCAGACAAGGUGUUGGCACCACAUUCCAUGCCUCUUUCUCUCUGGAGCCCCAUGAUGUCCUGCUAUUCUCACUGUUGAUGCUCCAUAUCACCUAGUGACAUUCAGAGUGUGUGUACAUUUACUUGGCGAAUAAAGGUGAUUCUAACAUACCCUUAAAAUAAUAACAUACACUUAACAUAAUAACAUACCCUUAAAUUAAUAACAUACCCUUAAAAUAAUAAUAUACCCUUAAAAUAAUAACAUACCCUUAAAAUUAUGAACUUAACUAUUCUCUGUAUGUGUGUCCAGGUUUUGGCAUAUUUUAGGAUGAGGUGUGCAAGGUUUAGGGUACUCCAGGCCUGUGUAUGUAGUGUGUAGGGUUUAGGGUACUCCAGGACUGUGUGUGUAGGGUUCAGGGUACUCCAGGAUUGUGUGUGUAGGGUUUAGUGGGUAGGGUUUAGGGUACACCAGGCCCAUGUGUGUAGGGUUUAGGGUACUCCAGGCCUGUGUGUGUAGGGUUUAGGGUACUCCAGGACUGUGUGUGUAGAGUUUAGUGGUUGGUGGUUGGUGGUUGGAGAUAUCCCUCCAGUGGUGUGGAGGCUGUGCUUUGGCAAAGUGGGUGGGGUUAUAUCCUACCUGUUUGGCCCUGUCCGGGGGUUUCAUCGGAUGGGGCCACAGUGUCUCCUGACCCCUCCUGUCUCAGCCUCCAGUAUUUAUGCUGCAGUAGUUUAUGUGUCGGGGGGCUGGGGUCAGUCUGUCACAUCUGGAGUAUUUCUCUUGUCUUUUCCGGUGUCCUGUGUGAAUUUAAAUAUGCUCUCUCUAAUUCUUUCUUUCUUUCUUUCUUUCUUUCUUUCUUUCUUUCUUUCUUUCUUUCUUUCUUUCUUUCUUUCUUUCUUUCUUUCUUUCUUUCUUUCUCUCUCUCUCUCUCUCUCGGAGGACCUGAGCCCUAGGACCAUGCCUCAGGACUACCUGGCUUGAUGACUCCUUGCUGUCCCCAGUUCACCUGGCCGUGCUGCUGCUCCAGUUCCAACUGUUCUGCCUGCAGCUAUGGAACCCUGACUUGUUCACCGGACGUGCUACCUGUCCCAGACCUGCUGUCCCAGACCUGCUGGAACCCUGACCUAUUCACCGGACGUGCUACCUGUCCCAGACCUGCUGUUUUCAACUCUCUAGAGACAGCAGGAGCGGUAGAGAUACUCUCAACGAUCGGCUAUGAAAAAGCCAACUGACACUUACUCUUGUGUUACUGACUUGUUGCACCCUCGACAACUACUAUGAUUAUUAUUAUUUGACCAUGCUGGUCAUUUAUGAACAUUUGAACAUCUAGGCCAUGUGCUGUUAUAAUCUCCACCCGGCACAGCCAGAAGAGGACUGGCCACCCCUCAUAGCCUGGUUCCUCUCUAGGUUUCUUCCUAGGUUUUGGCCUUUCUAGGGAAUUUUUUCCUAGCCACCGUGCUUCUACACCUGCAUUGCUUGCUGUUUGGGGUUUUAGGUUGGGUUUCUGUACAGCACUUUGAGAUAUCAGCUGAUGUAAGAAGGGCUAUAUAAAUACAUUUGAUUUGAUUUGAUUUUAGUGUAUAGGGUUUAGGGUACUCCAGGACUGUGUGUGUAGGGUUUAGGGUACUCCAGGCCUGUGUGUGUAGGGUUUAGGGUACUCCAGGACUGUGUGUGUAGAGUUUAGUGUAUAGGGUUUAGGGUACUCCAGGCCUGUGUGUGUAGGGUUUAGGGUACUCCAGGCCUGUGUGUGUAGGGUUUAGUGUGUAGUGUUUAGGGUACUCCAGGCCUGUGUGGCUUCUUCUGAAGGGCACCUUGCCAGAGUUCAGUGAACGAUGGUGUCCUUGAGUGUGUGUGUGUGUGUGUGUGUGUGUGUGUGUGUGAGUGUGUGUGUGUGUGUGUGUGUGUGUGUGU